UAGGGAAUCUUCGGCAAUGGGGGCAACCCUGACCGAGCAACGCCGCGUGAGUGAAGAAGGUUUUCGGAUCGUAAAGCUCUGUUGUAAGAGAAGAACGUGUGUGAGAGUAACUGUUCAUUCGAUGACGGUAUCUAACCAGCAAGUCACGGCUAACUACGUGCCGG
rnacentral:rRNA from 1 species